GGCUCAUGAAAGCAAGAAAACUGGAAAGCUUAGCAGAAGUGGUGCUGUUAUGACUUGUAGCCUUUGUCAUAACAAAGGCCACAACAAAAGAGGAUGUCCAACAAAAGAUGAUGUCCAACAAACAGCAAGUCAAUCAAAGGCUAGAACAAAUAGGGGGAAGGCAAACAAGAGAAGAAUGGAACAAGAAGCUGAAAGUUGUGGAAGAGCAAAUAUAAGAAGGAUGGAAAAAAACCGAGACAGCCUAGUUUCCGCUACAAACAACUAGUCAAUCACAGGCUAGAUCAAAUAGGGGGAAGACAAACAAGGAGAGGAUGGAAAAUGAAACUGAAAGUAGUGAAAGGGGUGGUGGAAGAGGCAUUGGAAGAGGGAUGCAAUAGCAAAAUCAAGAGACUGAAGGCACAAGUAGUGGACAUGCAAAAAGACCUUAUAAAAGGCCAAGGAUGGUGGGGGUUGGAGUAUUGGUUGAUGAUGAUGGUUGUACUACUCUUAAUCCUAGGAUGCCAAACAGAAGGGUCAAUGACAUUGGUAGAAGAGCUCCUAUGAGAUCUGAUGUGGUUACUGGAGAUAUUGGUUACACACCACGCAAAGGAUUCAGAUGGAGGGGCAAACAAACUAUUACCAGUAAUCGACUUGACCAAAUGAGGGGUGAGAAAAUAAUCCAAACAAGGUCUAAAGUUGCUGCUAACAAUCAGAAGUCCAAAGUUGCUGCUAACAUGCAGAGUCAAUGCAGUACAUCUAGAAAGCCCUCUGUGCCAUGGAAAUAGUUGGUUUGCAGUUGGAUUUUUGGUGUUGCUGCUGCUGCUGUUAUUUUGGCUUGGAGAUGUCAUUUGGCUAAUGGUUUUUUUUUUUUUUGGUUUUG